UACGUAGGGGGCUAGCGUUGCUCGGAAUUACUGGGCGUAAAGGGCUCGUAGGCGGCCAACUAAGUCAGACGUGAAAUCCCUCAGCUUAACUGGGGAACUGCGUCUGAUACUGGAUGGCUUGGAUUCGGGAGAGGAAUGCGGAAUUCCAGGUGUAGCGGUGAAAUGCGUAGAUAUCUGGAGGAACACCGGUGGCGAAGGCGGCAUUCUGGACCGACAUUGACGCUGAGGAGCGAAAGCCAGGGGAGCAAACGGG
rnacentral:rRNA from 1 species